AGGACGAACGCUGGCGGCGUGCUUAACACAUGCAAGUCGAGCGGAAAGGCCCUUCGGGGUACUCGAGCGGCGAACGGGUGAGUAACACGUGAGUAAUCUGCCCCUAGCUCUGGGAUAGCUCCGGGAAACCGGGAUUAAUACCAGAUACGACCACUUUAGACAUCUGCUGUGGUGGAAAGAAUUUCGGCUAGGGAUGAGCUCGCGGCCUAUCAACUUGUGGUGAGGUAACGCUCACCAAGGCGACGACGGGUA
rnacentral:rRNA from 1 species